UACAGAGGUGGCAAGCGUUGUUCGGAAUUACUGGGCGUAAAGGGCGCGUAGGCGGCUUUUCAAGUCCCGUGUGAAAUCCCUCGGCUCAACUGAGGAAUUGCACGGGAAACUGUCUGGCUUGAGUUCGGGAGAGGGAAGCGGAAUUCCGGGUGUAGCGGUGAAAUGCGUAGAUAUCCGGAGGAACACCGGUGGCGAAGGCGGCUUCCUGGACCGAUACUGACGCUGAGGCGCGAAAGCUAGGGGAGCAAACGGG
rnacentral:rRNA from 1 species